rnacentral:tRNA from 1 species
GUUUCUGUGAUGUAGUGGCUAUCAUGUUUGCCUUACAUGCAAAAGGUUCCUGGUUUGAGACCAGGCAGAAACA